AUCCACAGCCAUAUCACCCUGCAGCCCAAGACUGGUUGCCCACUGAAGCUAAGCAGGGUUGAGCCUGGUCAACCUGGAUGGGAGACCUCCUGGGAAAACUAGGUUGCUGCUGGUA
ensembl:rRNA 5S_rRNA 5S ribosomal RNA